rnacentral:misc_RNA from 1 species
AAUUGAGGUUAGAAAUGGUCAAUUAGGACCAUUUGUGAUGUGUUGGAAUUGAUAGAAUUGAAAAGCAAUUCGGAUUGCUUAGGGGUCCCAAUCUAGCUGUUUGACCUAGGUCCAUUUGAGGGACCAAAACUAAAAUUUUACCAAUUCAAUUGGUAUGAAGCCAAUUGGGAAUGAAAGUAGGCACAUAAUGACACAUUUUUCGUUUAGAAACCAUGCCCAGAAAAUG